UGAAGAGUAACAUAUUUAUAUACAUAUAUGUGUGUAAGUAUGUUUAAUCUACUCGUGCUUUUAGACAUUCAAGAGGAAAACAUUUUGAAGAUGAGUUUAUCAAUUGACUCUUCACGAUCAGGGAUAAUCAUUAAUUAUAAGAUAUAGGGCUUCUUUUUUUUUCAUUCCUAAGAGAAUAUGAUAGGAAUUGUUCAACCAAUGGGUGGAUUCAUAUUUUGUCACAUCUUUUUGCAAUUUUUACUUUCAUUUAACGGGGAAUAAGUUUUGCUACAUGUUUUCAGCUGUAUUUUUCAA
rnacentral:lncRNA from 1 species